UGAUAAUAUGUGAAAUCAAGUCCUUAAUAGUGAAGACAAUACAAUCAUACUAGCAUGAACAUCGUCUUAUUUAUCAUGUAUAUUUGGUUAUGAUGGCCAGCCUCUGCUGUCAAAACUCUGUUUUAGCGAUGUCUUGUAACGCUGUAAACCGUCAAGCUCUGUACUAUGUGUGCUGUGGCAUGAUUAUGUCUGGAAUGCUUGCGUUGUUUUACGGUUGAUCACCUUUCGUUGUUUUACGGUUGAUCACCUUUCGUGUUAAACACAUAUUGUUUGCUGAGUCCAUGUUUCUCAAUGACUGAUGUUCAAUUGGCUUGAACCACGCAAAAUGCAUGGUAUAUGUAUUUAUCAAUGUUCUAACGUUCUUUGAAGACGUAGAUAAUUU
rnacentral:lncRNA from 1 species